GUAGAAAGGGAAAAUGGGUUGCAGGUGUUCUGCUUUGGACAUGGGAAUUCAGGCUUGCCCUGACUUCCUCACCUCAGCGCUGGCCUCGGUGCCUGUGCCCACUUUACAUGGCUCUUGACUGGCUCCACAGGCGAUCACACACCCUAGCUGGAACCCCAACACUAUGAACAAUGACCUGACUCUUCUGAAGCUUGCCUCACCAGCCCGGUACACAGCACAAGUCUCACCAGUCUGCCUGGCUUCCUCAAAUGAGGCACUUCCUGCAGGCCUCACAUGCGUCACCACUGGCUGGGGCCGCAUCAGUGGUGUGGGCAACGUGACACCAGCACGUCUGCAGCAAGUAGUUCUACCCCUGGUCACUGUGAAUCAGUGUCGGCAGUAUUGGGGUUCACGCAUUACUGACUCCAUGAUAUGUGCAGGUGGCGCAGGUGCCUCCUCAUGUCAGGGUGACUCAGGAGGCCCUCUUGUCUGCCAGAAGGGAAACACCUGGGUGCUUAUUGGUAUUGUCUCCUGGGGCACUGAGAACUGCAAUGUACAAGCACCGGCCAUGUACACUCGGGUCAGCAAGUUCAACACCUGGAUCAACCAAGUCAUGGCCUACAACUAAACUGUCCACAGAUCCUUUCCCCAUCUCAAUCCAAUAAAGACACCAGCCUCAGUUUC
rnacentral:lncRNA from 1 species